AUUUUAUAACUACUACAUUUGCAGCAGAGCACGGUAAUUUAUUUGAGUAAAAUAAACAUUAUUUUUUACAUCAACUCAUAAGUUAUGUGAAACUUCCCCAGGAGCAUUGUUAAAAUACUUUGGAGGCACAGAAUCAGCCCAGAGCCAGUCCACAUCCUCAGGCUCAACUGUGAGUGAUGAAUCAGCAACUUCCACCACAACGUCCCCUUCACACCAUGGACCAUCAUCAGCUCCGCCAGUUGACCCAGCUGAGUGGCCUUCUUUCCUCUCAGAUUCAGACAGGACUGAGCAGAUAGGAGUCGCAGUUCCUGCUGAUCUUCAGUUUGUCCACUCGGCCCGAUGCUCCAGAUGCAAUCGGCAUCUCCAACCGUACAACCGCAGACAGAAGAUACCUGGAAUCAAACUCACGGUCAUUUGAAUGCAACCCAGGUACCAGAAUUUCAAAAUAUCUCCAGUCUUUUUGUUCUUUGCUUUUAUUGGUGAGCCAGCAACAAAUAGUGGCUGCUCUGAGUUUAU